CAGCAGCCGCGGUAAUACGUAGGGUGCAAGCGUUAAUCGGAAUUACUGGGCGUAAAGCGUGCGCAGGCGGUUAUAUAAGACAGAUGUGAAAUCCCCGGGCUCAACCUGGGAACUGCAUUUGUGACUGUAUAGCUAGAGUACGGCAGAGGGGGAUGGAAUUCCGCGUGUAGCAGUGAAAUGCGUAGAUAUGCGGAGGAACACCGAUGGCGAAGGCAAUCCCCUGGGCCUGUACUGACGCUCAUGCACGAAAGCGUGGGGAGCAAACAGGAUUAGAUACCCCAGUAGUCCCUGUCUCUUAUAC
rnacentral:rRNA from 1 species